rnacentral:misc_RNA from 1 species
AAGUCGUAACAAGGUUUCCGUAGGUGAACCUGCGGAAGGAUCAUUAACGUAGUUUUGAUUUGGGAGAGGAGUUCUUUUACUUCUCUUUUCCAUUUCUUCACCACAUGUUGUGCUCUUAAAAGAUUGUCUUUGGUGGUUAAACUCAUUUGUUUGAGGCACCCGUUCUGGUUACCCAGAACCAACUCGUUGUUUUUUUUUUUUAUCUUCUUUUUGCAUGUCAUUCAUGUCAUUAAGAGAGCAAAAAAAAAACGACAAGUACAAAAGAAGUUGGAGGCUUGUUCCUUGAAUUUGUUUUUGUUACUUGGAAGAGGGGCCACCGCUUUUUUUAAACAACUUUUUUUUGUCUGUAUAUAUCUUUAUUCUGUUGAAAUAUUCAAAACAUUUUAACAAGAAACAACUUUUGACAACGGAUCUCUUGGCUCUC